rnacentral:precursor_RNA from 11 species
AAUAAAGAGUUGUGUUUAGCUCUGGCAAGGUGAGGUAGUAGGUUGUGUGGUUUCAGGGUAGUCAUUUUGCCCCAAUCAGGAGAUAACUAUACAACCUACUGCCUUCCUUGAGGAGCAGCUUUGCAGCGUGCCCAGAA